rnacentral:rRNA from 1 species
AGUGAACGCUGGCGGUAGGCCUAACACAUGCCAGUCGAACGGCAGCACAGUAAGAGCUUGCUCUUACGGGUGGCGAGUGGCGGACGGGUGAGGAAUACAUCGGAAUCUACUUUUUCGUGGGGGAUAACGUAGGGAAACUUACGCUAAUACCGCAUACGACCUACGGGUGAAAGCAGGGGAUCUUCGGACCUUGCGCGAUUGAAUGAGCCGAUGUCGGAUUAGCUAGUUGGCGGGGUAAAGGCCCACCAAGGCGACGAUCCGUAGCUGGUCUGAGAGGAUGAUCAGCCACACUGGGACUGAGACACGGCCCAGACUCCUACGGGAGGCAGCAGUGGGGAAUAUUGGACAAUGGGCGCAAGCCUGAUCCAGCCAUACCGCGUGGGUGAAGAAGGCCUUCGGGUUGUAAAGCCCUUUUGUUGGGAAAGAAAAGCAGCAGGUUAAUACCCCGCUGUUCUGACGGUACCCAAAGAAUAAGCACCGGCUAACUUCGUG